rnacentral:lncRNA from 1 species
AAUGGGUCUAAAUUUUAUGCACCUGGCUGGGACAUAAGCAAGUUAAGUGGUAUGGGAUUGAUAUCUAGCAGUUAUUUCUGUGAUACACCUGGCAGUUAUUUCAUCGUGAGGUCUGACCGGCAACAAUUCUCUCUCUACCAGGAUACAUAUGGAUCAGGCGGCUGGAUAGCUGUGCUUUCUUCAUGUUUUCUUCUCCCACGUUUUUCUCCCAAAUCCCAUCCACCUUUUGUCAAAACCCUUUUUGUUUAUGUACAUGUUUGAUAGUAAGAUAGCCUGAGGUGCACUUAUCAGAUAGCUGCUAGCAAGAGGUAAAAGGUGGAGAAGUGUUCAUCCAUAUAGCUAGGAAGAAGGCCCCUAAUAUAACGGCCCAAAGAAAAGGGGUGGGCCCUGGUGUUGGAUGUGGGGGGUUUGUUUUUACUUGCCCGUGUUGUUUCCUAUUAGUUUUUGUUGAUUUGUGGUGGCUGACUUGAAUUAAUUGCAGACAAUUGUCAUCACUCGCUUUAUGUGCAAAAGUAAUGCUAUUGCGUUCUCUUGUAGUAACUGUACUUGUUCCUUCCUUGUAUUUCGACUUCAGUUACUGGGUUUUCGUUCACCAUCUGUUUAAUAUUUGAUAUGUUUGUGUACAUCAAAUGUUUCUCUUUGUUUGAG